rnacentral:rRNA from 1 species
ACCCGCACAAGCAGCGGAGCGUGUGGUUUAAUUCGACGCUACACGAAGAACCUUACCAGGGUUUGACAUGCAAGUGGUAGGAAACCGAAAGGCGACCGACCCUUCGGGGAGCUUGCACAGGUGCUGCAUGGCUGUCGUCAGCUCGUGUCGUGAGAUGUUCGGUUAAGUCCGCUAACGAGCGCAACCCUCGCUGUGUGUUACAAGUGUCACACGGUACUGCCGGUCUUAAGCCGGAGGAAGGUGGGGAUGACGUCAAGUCAGCAUGGCCUUUAUGUCCUGGGCUACACACACGCUACAAUGGCCAACACAAUAGGUUGCUAAGCCGCGAGGUGGAGCCAAUCCUCAAAGUUGGUCUCAGUUCAGAUUGCAGGCUGCAACCCGCCUGCAUGAAGAUGGAGUUGCUAGUAACCGCAGGUCAGCUAUACUGCGGUGAAUACGUUCCCGGGGCUU